AUUGAACGCUGGCGGCAUGCCUUACACAUGCAAGUCGAACGGCAGCACGGGAGCAAUCCUGGUGGCGAGUGGCGAACGGGUGAGUAAUGUAUCGGAACGUGCCCAGUCGUGGGGGAUAACGUAGCGAAAGGUACGCUAAUACCGCAUACGAUCUUUGGAUGAAAGCGGGGGAUCGCAAGACCUCGCGCGAUUGGAGCGGCCGAUAUCAGAUUAGGUAGUUGGUGGGGUAAAGGCUCACCAAGCCGACGAUCUGUAGCUGGUCUGAGAGGACGACCAGCCACACUGGGACUGAGACACGGCCCAGACUCCUACGGGAGGCAGCAGUGGGGAAUUUUGGACAAUGGGCGCAUGCCUGAUCCAGCAAUGCCGCGUGCAGGACGAAGGCCUUCGGGUUGUAAACUGCUUUUGUACGGAACGAAACGGCUCUCUCUAAUACAGAGGGUUAAUGACGGUACCGUAAGAAUAAGCACCGGCUAACUACGUGCCAGCCGCCGCCGUAA
rnacentral:rRNA from 1 species